GCAUGCGCAUUAAAUAUUCCGGGACAGUAGAGACGCAUGCGCAUUGAACCUGGUUCCGCCCUCUUGAUGAUGACUUGCAUUAAAAGAAAUCAUUAUACUUCGGUCUUGCAAUGCAUUUCUCAACUCCCGCACACACAACAACGCUAUCCUUUAUGAAUCAUUUCCGUAAGUAUUAAACAAUUCGAUGCUUUUAAUUCUGGAGACUUUCGCUUUUUGGCGACUCAAUUCUUUGUGUCUGCUCUCUGUUUUAUGAAUAUGAGAUGUCCUUGAUUCGUGCGGGUUUGGCUGCUAUUUCUACCUAUGGAAUAUGGAAGACACUUGUCUAUGAUCUGUGCGCGAUUUUGACAUCUAUUUCUAGCUAUGUAAGUUAGGUACCGUGCCUUUUCGAGAAAUCCUCUGCAAUCGUUUGAAAUGGCUAUAAUGUUUGCAUCUUUGGAUAAGUCCACCUUGGUCCUGGUAGGACCAAUGCAAGGUGGUAAUGUAGAAGAUGAUUGCUACUUAUCUACCUCAGAAAGGCAUAAGGUACAUUUGGUUUGGGUGAUAUUUGAACUCGGAACGUGGUGCUCUAUCGAUUUUUCUAUCUAUUUUCUCCUCCAUCCAUCUCUGUAUUGAGUAUAUAUAUAUAUCAAAUAUAUAUUGAGUAUAUAUAUAUAUAUCAAAUAUAUAUUGAGUAUAUAUAUAUAUAUAUCAAAUAUAUAUUGAGUAUAUAUAUAUAUCAAAUAUAUAUUGAGUAUAUAUAUAUAUAUCAAAUAUAUAUUGAGUAUAUAUAUAUACAUAUAUAUAAUAAUAAAUAUUAGGGAAUAAAUCCAAACUUACAGGGAAAAAUCAGAUUUAGGAUUGAAUCCAAUUUUAUUGUAAAAUAUUAUAUUAUAUUAAAUUAGAGAUAAAACCACUAUUAGGCAAAUCAUACAAUGAAAAACUUAAGCCAAUACAUAAGAUUAGUCGACUUUGCCUUUCAUCCUUUCGGGGUCGAUAAAUUAAGUACCAGUUACGCACUGGGGUCGAUGUAAUCGACUUAAUACCUAUGUCUGUCCUUGUUUGUCCCCUCUGUGUUUAGCCCCUUGUGGGUAAUAAAGAAAUAGGUACUGGAAUAUCCUUCAAUGAUGAAUUCCAAAAUAGCGGUUCUAUCUUACCUGUAAAUUCCAUAAUUUACGAAGUUGAGAUAUUACACUCAAUAUACGUAAUUUAUCAAUAUAUUAAUUAAUAAUAAAUAUUAGGGAAUAAAUCCAAACUUACAGAUAUUUAAAUAAUCUUAUGUAUUGGCUUAAGUUUUUCAUUGUAUGAUUUGCCUAAUAGUGGUUUUGUCUCUAAUUUAAUAUAAUAUAUAUAUAUAUAUAUAUAUAUAUAUAUUACCUUAUUAUUUCAGUUUGCACCCAGUGGCUAUGAUGUUUGCAUCUUUGGAUAAGUCCACCCUGGUCCUGGUAAAGCAUAUACAAUGGAAGUUGGUAAUGUAGAAGAUGAGAUGAUGGGUAUGAUUCCAAGAGCUGCUGUUCAGGUGUUUGAAACCGUUGAAUUAUUAGUUGAGAAAGGUUAGAAGGUAAGUUUCUAUUUAAAAACCUGAUAUAAAAUUAAAAAAAAAUCUUGCAUUUUAUGAAUCUUCUUGGUGAUUAUUCAAGAGUUUAUAACUGAUUGUGAAUAUUGGUAUGGUUUUAUUUUUGUUAAAAUAUGCUGCCUUGUAUAGUUUUAGCUGCUGUUUCUUUAACUGAGUCAAUUGUUUAAUCUGUUGUUUGUCAGUUCAACAGUGAUUAUUUAUCUUCAUUUGAAAUUUUUGAUUUGAUAUCCUCAAUGGUUCUUAUAUAUAGCCACAUAGACUAUAUUCUUUCUUAUACUAAUUUCCUUGAAUCUCAGAGGAAGAAAUAUGUAAAGUUAUCCUUGGCAGGUUAAAAUUUCAAAUUUAGAUGGAUGUUGCCAGCAAUGUGUGAUUUCUGAUUCAGUCCUAUUGCAUGGCACCAUAGGCAAGUAAAUGCAGGCUAAACAAGGCCUUGAGAAAGAAUUUGUGAGCUGGGAACUAUAAAAUCUGUUGUACAUGUCAUCAUUGUGACUGUCAUUUAAUGUCCACUUUUCAUUGCUUACACGAGUCAGAUGGAAUUUGUUGAGGCAUAUUUUCUUUAGCUGGAUGCUCCUCUUGUCAUCAUCUCUCGUCUGUUUGCAAGCAAGGUAACAUUUUUUGAUAGCUAGCCAUGUUUCCCAUGGAAAACUAGAAACGAAUAACCUUUGUAUGAUGAUGAUGAUGAUGCUCAUUUGCAACUCUCAGAUGAUGUCUAGAUAAGGUUACACGUGUACAAUUGGAUUCUUUCAGUUUCUGCCUACCAAAUCCACUUGCAAGGCCUUGAUUGUUCAGGGCCUGUGGUAGAAAGCACUUGGCCCAACGUGCAACUAUGUGUGGUUAAACUGAAACCCAAACCAUGGGCAUUGUUAAAUGUUGUUCUUAUGAACUGAAGGGAUUUUUAAGCAUUGCUACUUUGAAUCUAAGAAAUUAUCAAAUGUUUCUGCUAUAAAUUUAAAAUGUUAUUAAAUGUUGCUGUCGUAAAUUUAAGAUAUUAGAUGUUCUGAUAUCCAUGCAGGUAUGGAAAGGUGGAGGGCUUGAAAACGAUGAUGAUGAUGAUUUUGAUUUAAUCAGAAAUGAAAUCUGUGAUAACCUAUUUUGAUUUCUAUUUUAAAUGUUUGAACAACAUAGGACAGAAGCCUUGAGUUAUUUUUAAUCAAUAGGAAAAAGGUCAGGUUCUUGAUUACUUAGGACAAAGAACAACAAAAAUGGAAAUGAAAAUGAAAAAAAAAAAGGACAGUAAAGCAGAAUAAAGCAAUUUUUAUCAUGGGAAAUAUCCUGGUAGCAUUUAGGCUGGAAGUUAUUUUUAAGAAACAGGUCUUGAGGGAGAAAAGUGUAUAUGUAAAGUAAUAAAUGAUAUUUAAAUUUUCAUUUGAAUGAUGGAGAUUAAAGAUUUUCCAUUCUUGAUUUGUCAAUCGUAAUUUUAUGGAAAUUGUGUGUGUGUGUAUAUAUACUCAAAUAUCGCAGGCUUAUCAUAUAUUUUAACUUUUACUAAUCAGUUUUGUCAAACCAUUUGAUAACCUAAAAAGUAACAAUUAUUUACUCAAUGUUGUGAAAACUUAAUCAGUUAAGUAAUGGCACACCACACACACACACACACACACAGGUGCUGCGUUCAUGAUCAUAAAAUUGUGGUUUUGAUUCCUGGAAUGAGUGAUGCAUUGUGUUCUUGAGCAAAACACUUAAUUUCAUGUUGCUGCUGGCAAAGAUGAGUAAUCCUGUGACAGACUGGCAUCUUAUCCAGGAGUGGGAGAAUAUAUACGCCACAGAAUUCAAGAUAUUGGUUUUAUGAGCCUAUGUCAUGGGAAGGACUUUUUCAUGUAUUUGUGUGUGUGUAUAUCUCUGUGCCAAAGGCAUGUAAAAAGUACUAUCUGAAUAUGAUCGAUGCCAGGCUCGCCCAACUGGCUCCUGUGCUGGUGGCACGUAAAAAGCACCCACUGCACUCUCAGGGUGAUUGUUGUUAGGAAGGGCACCUAGCUGUGGAAACAUUGCCAGAUCAGAUUGGAGCCUGGCACAGCCGCUGGCUUUCCAGACCUCUGUCAAACCAUCCAACCCAUGCCAGCAUGGAAAAUGGACAUUAAAGGAUGAUAUAUAUAUAUAUAUAUAUAUACACACACACACACAUGCAUAUGAAUAAUAUGCUUACAUUAUAAGAAUUUAAAAAAUUUAUCAGAAUUGAAGUAAAUUUUUUUUCAUGGAGGAACAGAUAAAGCUUUCAAUAACAGCAAGUAGAAUAUUGGGUUAAAAGAAAUCCUUCAAUGGAAUAAAGGUCAACCCACAUCUGUUAAUAUGACAAAUGCGUCUGUCUCAUGGGCAGCCUUUAACUCUUUCCCAUUCAAAGGGCCUUUUUUUUAUGCCUGAUAUUCUACACACUAUUUUAUAUGAGGGGUACUGAAAAAUUCCUGGUUUUGGGUAAAAGAAAAUACAUUGGGGAACAGUUAUGAUUUUAUUGAAUAUAUUCCCCUCUCAGAUUCACACACUUUUUGCAAUGGUCCUUCAGUUUUUCUAAGCCCUUUAAAAGAACUAAGAAGGUUGUGCCUCCAGCCAAGCCUUUCAUGAUACACUUAAAGCCAGGAACUUUUCAGCACCCCUUGUGUGUGUGUGUGUGUGUGUGUAAAGUUUAUGUUCAGUUAAAUGAAGGAAAGAAACUGGAGAGUUAAGAUAAUUAUUUAUCAUUAAAAGAUUGUUAAUCUUUACUUCUUACAGCCGUUUCCAUUAGUGCUCAAUAGGGUAAAUUACGAAUUUAUGCUUUAAGUUUGCAUUUAUGUGUUAUGAGCAUAAUUUCAUCCGAGAAAGAUAUACAUGAAGAUAUUACACAUGGACCCUUCCAUUCUUGCAAGCAGACUAAAUAAGGAGUUAUUGUUUUUUUAUUCUUAUGUGUGGGUGAAUGGUUGACAGAUCAGUUGGAAUAUAAUGAGUAAUAAGGU
rnacentral:lncRNA from 1 species